rfam:Oryza nivara chromosome 5, whole genome shotgun sequence.
AAAAAGACAAACCCUAAAUUUUCGUGUCCAACGUUUGACUAUCCGUUUUAUAUGAAUUUUUUUUUAUAAUUAGUAUUUUCAUUGUUGUUAGAUGAUAAAACAUGAUUAAUAUUUUAUGCGUAACUUGUCUUUUUAAUUUUUUUCAUAUUUUUUUUCAAAUAAGACGGACGGUCAAACGUUGGACACGGAAAUUCAGAGUUUGUCUUUUU